ACUGUCAGAACAAAGGAUUUUAUGUUUCCCGGGAUUACUGUCAGAAAUAGGAAUUUAAAUUGUUAGUAUUAACAUAUAAUUAGCUAAGAAAACAUUACUUGAUAAUUUACACAGCUUUCAUCAUCUAUUUCCUAGUUAUCCCAAAGAAGCCUAUCCAAUUUUUGUAUCGCACAAUCGACAGCUUCCAAUUCCUUCACUUUGUACACACCUGCUGUAUCAUGAACCGCAUCAUCAAUUGCUUGUAAAUUCAACAACGAACGUAAAACCAUCAACCUCAAAAAAGGGCAGUCCAGUGUACUAAUAAAGCUUCCUCUAUGCAUAUGGUCCGUAAAAGGGCCUGACCACAAGGGUCUAUUGUAUGCCGUCUUAACUUGCAUUUCUGCCAGAAU
rnacentral:lncRNA from 1 species